AACGAACGCUAUCGGUAUGCUUAACACAUGCAAGUCGGACGGACUAAUUAGGGCUUGCUCCAAUUAGUUAGUGGCAGACGGGUGAGUAACACGUGGGAAUCUGCCCAUCAGUACGGAAUAACUUUUAGAAAUAAAAGCUAAUACCGUAUAUUCUCUACAGAGGAAAGAUUUAUCGCUGAUGGAUGAGCCCGCGUCAGAUUAGGUAGUUGGUGAGGUAACGGCUCACCAAGCCGACGAUCUGUAGCUGGUCUGAGAGGAUGAUCAGCCACACUGGGACUGAGACACGGCCCAGACUCCUACGGGAGGGAGCAGUGGGGAAUAUUGGACAAUGGGCGAAAGACUGAUCCAGCAAUACCGAGUGAGUGAUAAAGGCCCUAGGGUUGUAAAGCUCUUUUAGCAAGGAAGAUAAUGACGUUACUUGCAGAAAAAGCCCCGGCUAACUCCGUG
rnacentral:rRNA from 1 species